GACUACUGGGGUAUCUAAUCCUGUUUGCUCCCCACGCUUUCGCGUCUCAGCGUCAGUUACCGUCCAGGUGGCCGCCUUCGCCACUGGUGUUCCUCCCGAUAUCUACGAAUUUCACCUCUACACCGGGAAUUCCGCCACCCUCUCCGGCACUCAAGUCUCGUAGUUUCGAACGCACUUCCUCGGUUAAGCCGAGGGCUUUCACAUCCGACUUGCGAGACCGCCUACACGCGCUUUACGCCCAAUAAUUCCGAACAACGCUUGCACCCUCUGUAUUACCGCGGCUGCUGGCACAGAGUUAGCCGGUGCUUCCUUUGGAGGUACCGUCAUCGGACCGGAUUGUUCACCCGGCCCUUAUUCGUCUCUCCCGACAGUGCUUUACGAUCCGAAGACCUUCAUCACACACGCGGCGUUGCUGCGUCAGGCUUUCGCCCAUUGCGCAAGAUUCCCCACUGCUGCCCCCCGUAGG
rnacentral:rRNA from 1 species